rnacentral:rRNA from 1 species
AGGUCAAGUGACUACGGCGCACGGUGGAUGCCUUGGCACUUCGAGCCGAUGAAGGGCGCGGUAUGACUGCGAUAAGCCAGGAGGAGCCGUCAAGCAGGCUGAUCCCUGGAUUCCCGAAUGGGGCAACCCGAUGGCGGUUAUGCGCCAUCACCCCAGGUUGAACACAUAGACCUGGUGGGGGUAAGCGGGGGAAAUGAAACAUCUAAGUACCCCGAGGAACAGAAACAAUUCCGGUAGUAGCGGCGAGCGAACCCGGAGCAGCCCAAACCGGUUGAGCCUAAUGGAGCCCUCUCCUCUGCUCAGCCGGUGUUGUAGGGCGUUGCAUUCGCACCGAGGGUGGUGCGACAGCAGUUACAAACUGCGCGGGUAGGCGAAGGUCCCUGGAACGGGCCGCCACAGACGGUGAGAGCCCGGUAGCCGACACCCGACGCAGCUGCUGGCAGCGUCCCUGAGUACCACGCGACACGGUGAAAGCGCGUGGGAAGCUGGGGAGCCCACUUCCCAAGGCUAAACACUCGAAGUGACCGAUAGCGGACCAGUACCGUGAGGGAAAGGUGAAAAGAACCCCGGGAGGGGAGUGAAACAGUUCCUGAAACCGUGUGCUUUCAAGCAGUGAGAGGCCCGUAACCGGGCUGAUCGCGUGCCUAUUGAAGAAUGAACCGGUGAGUUACGUUUUGUGGCGAGGUUAAGGCAUUCUGUGCCGCAGCCGCAGCGAAAGCGAGUCUGAACAGGGCGAAGCGAGUCGCAAGACGUAGACCCGAAACCAGGUGAGCUACCCAUGGGCAGGGUGAAGCUGGGGUAACAGCCAGUGGAGGCCCGAACCUUCUUCAGUUGCAAAUGGAUUGGAUGACCUGUGGGUAGAGGUGAAAUGCCAAGCGAACCUGGCGAUAGCUGGUUCUCCCCGAAAUGCCUUUAGGGGCAGCGUUGCGGGAAGCGACCGUGGAGGUAGGGCUC